CCUACGGGUGGCAGCAGUGGGGAAUAUUGCGCAAUGGGCGAAAGCCUGACGCAGCGACGCCGCGUGAGGGAUGAAGGCCUUCGGAUCGUAAACCUCUGUUAGUAGGGAAGAACGGUCACUGUGCUAAUCCUCAGUGAAUUGACGGUACCUGCAAAGGAAGCACCGGCUAACUCCGUGCCAGCAGCCGCGGUAAUACGGAGGGUGCGAGCGUUAAUCGGAAUUACUGGGCGUAAAGCGCGCGUAGGCGGUAUGUCAAGUCAAGGGUGAAAUCCCCGCGCUCAACGGGGGAACUGCCUUUGAUACUGGCAAACUUGAGUGUGGGUGAGGAUAGUGGAAUUCGAGGUGUAGGAGUGAAAUCCGUAGAUAUCUGGAAGAACAUCGGUUGCGAAGGCAACUAUCUAACACGUGACUGACGCUGAGGAGCGAAAGCGUGGGUAGCAAACAGGAUUAGAUACCCCUGUAGUC
rnacentral:rRNA from 1 species